rnacentral:rRNA from 1 species
UGGGGAAUAUUGCACAAUGGGCGCAAGCCUGAUGCAGCCAUGCCGCGUGUAUGAAGAAGGCCUUCGGGUUGUAAAGUACUUUCAGUCGGGAGGAAGGUGGUAAGGUUAAUAACCUUAUCAAUUGACGUUACCGACAGAAGAAGCACCGGCUAACUCCGUGCCAGCAGCCGCGGUAAUACGGAGGGUGCAAGCGUUAAUCGGAAUUACUGGGCGUAAAGGGCUUGUAGGCGGCUUGUUGCGCCUGCUGUGAAAACGCGGGGCUUAACUUCGCGCGUGCAGUGGGUACGGGCAGGCUUGAGUGUGGUAGGGGUGACUGGAAUUCCAGGUGUAGCGGUGGAAUGCGCAGAUAUCUGGAGGAACACCGAUGGCGAAGGCAGGUCACUGGGCCAUUACUGACGCUGAGGAGCGAAAGCAUGGGUAGCGAACAGG